rnacentral:pre_miRNA from 1 species
UUAGUACUCCCUCCGUCCGAAAAUACUUGUCAUCAAAAUGGACAAAAAGGGAUGUAUCUAGAACUAAAAUACAUCUAGAUACAUCCCCUUUUAUUCAUUUUGAUGACAAGUAUUUCCGGACGGAGGGAGUAUGUU